UGUUGUGUAGUUGCUGUUCUU
rnacentral:piRNA from 1 species